AACGCACAUUGCACCCGGUGGUAUUCCGCCGGGUAUGCCUGUCUGAGCGUCAUUUCUACCCUCAAGCCCCGCUUGGUGUUGGUGGAUUACUUUCCCCCCACAGGGGAGAGUAACCACUGAAAAUGAAUGGCGGUAGCACAUUUGUCCCCUGUACAGUACAAUUCUUACAGAGAGUCACUUGGGCCCACCAGCCUCACUACCAAAAACUUUUUUCCAGUAAAGUUGACCUCAGAUCAGGUAGGAAUACCCGCUGAACUUAA
rnacentral:misc_RNA from 1 species